AAAAAAAAAAGGGUUAAUUAGCAUAUCCACAUUUGAGAUGAAAACCCAUAACACUGGCCCGAACCAACCUCGUUCGAUAUCAAAAUCACGACCCAAAACCCAUCAAAACUCCCAUAUUUAACAUCAAAUCCAAACUAAAACUAGCUGAUUUUCAACUUUUAAGCAUUCUCCUAUAAAAUUAAAACAAACCCAUCAAAAGACUCCAUCUUUGAUCGCCAAGCAAGUCG
rnacentral:misc_RNA from 1 species